GCCAAGAAUAUUCCAGCGGUUACCCCCAUUUGAAUAGAUGGCGGCCAUGUUGGUGUUUCCCACUCGCUAAUAAACGCUUAAAAAACAACACUAACUUUCAUCAUUUGAAUAGUUUAAAAAUGUAUUUGGAAUAGGUUUACCUUAAUAUUUAAGUUCCGUGUUUAAGAAAUACAAAACAUACGAAUCUUCUCAUUUCAUGGGAAUACCCUGAGUCUGCAAUCACGGCUUCAAUUUUUGAAUUGUAGAAUAAUUAGAUGCA